GCAGGAGGCCGCCCCCCGGGCGCCGGCGCCUCCCCAGCUCGCCAGACCCCCGAGCCUGCCGCGGCCCCGCUCGCCCCGCGCCGCUGCCCCCGCUGCAGCAUCUCCCCCGCAGCCGGGCCCCAGCCCCGGGUGCCCCCGGCGCUGCCGUGGCGGCGGCCAGCCGGCCCCCCGCUGCCGCUCGGGAAGGGCCUGCGGCAGGAGCGGCUCCGGGCGGGGCCGAGCGGCGCCGGUCACGGCCCCCUGCGCUUCUGUCCCUCUGCCGGGGGCCGCGCCGCCUCGGGCUGGCGGGGGUUGUCCCUGCCCGGCCUCGCCCCCCGCGGCGCGGGUGCGGGAGGGGAGCGGGGGCACGGCCCGGUGUGGGCAGGAGCCGGGCCGGCCGGGGCGAGGCGAAGGAGAAGGAACCCGAGGGCAGGCGGGCAGCAGCUGCCUCCUGCUGCGGGCACAGAGGGCCUGGCCCUGCGGUGGGGGGGGACCAGCCCCGCAGCAGCCGGGUGCCAGCGUGCACAGCGGGGUCCGUGUGUCACCCGCGGGGUCCGUGUGUCACCCACAGCCUGGGGCGGCCCCCGGUGCGCGAGGGAGCGACGCGCCGUGUCCGGGAGGCCGCGUCUUGCGAGGAAGAGCUGUGAGACACCCGGGGGUUACCGGGGGUGGGGGAGCCGAGCGGCCGGCGUUCUGCGGGAGGGAGGGAGGGAGGGGAGAGGGGCAAAGGCGCGUCUGAACUGGCACAUUUUCGCAGCGGUACCAAAGCGAGAGCUGUGGUGAUGCCAUGAAAGGAUGGGGUAAGAAAACCUGAUGCCCUAAGCGUGUCAUUUCCAGAGAAACAUGUUGCUUAUACGCCUUCAUCUGGGAGGAGGACAGGUAUCCCCAACCCAACUGCAACAUACCUGGUCCACCGACGAUGGUCCCUGUCUGUCCUCGCAGUCAUCUAGGUGAGUAGGGGAGUCCUCCUGAGAAACCCUGGGGGCACCCAGAGGAGUCCUGUCCUCAGCAGGUCCUACAGCCGGACAGAGAGGGUCUCACCUGGGUCACCAAACUGACAUGCGGAAUCGAACUGUA